UGAAGGGGACUUUUAGACGAUGGAAUAUGCGGCUGAUCCAGGUGUGCACAAUUCUAGAGUGUGAUUUAUAAAGAACAUUGUUUUCAGGUGUGUGUCUGCAUGUUUUUGUAAAACUGAUUUUUUUUUUUUUUUGCACACUUUCAGCUUUUAUGCGCACGAGUCCGUGGCUCUGUUUUAUAAAAGAGACUCU